AUGUCACGAUGCGAGACCCAUAUGUCACUUUCCUCCAAGACAGGCUCAGAUGUAUAGUCAUGUCACUGGGUGAGAAUUUGGUGGUGUAGAAGUUUAUUCCUUUUCAUGUGUAUGCAGAUUUGUUUUUUGCCUUGAUUAAGUGGUAACAUUAUAUAUAAUAUCUAUGACAUAUGCAUAUAGAAAGAGUGAAAAUGUUUCAAAAUAAAUAUAUGAUUCAAAAGCAGUAAGAAAAAAAUACAGGAAGCCAAUUAUCAACUGAAACUCAAAUAUGCAUAUUUUUAAUCGUAAAGUUAACAUGGACAAGCAUAUUAUAUAAUAUUCUAAACUUAGUACUAUAAGUUUUUGUACUUAUUGUCUGAAUAGUUUCUCCAUUUUGUCUGUAUUGUAAUUAUUGAAAUAAUGAUAGGUAAUGCUUUUAAUGUUUUUCCCACAAUAAAUACUGUCUUCUGCUAGUCUGAAAGACUGGUUAGUUUUUAAUUAGUAGAACUUACACUUUUUAUCUAUCUAUCUAUCUAUCUAUCUAUCUAUCUAUCUAUCUAUAUUUUUUUUCUUGUAUAAUAUAUUUCGAUUAUGGUUUCUCUUUCGUCUACUUAUAUUUUUGAUGCAUUAAGAUCCUACUGUAAUAUUUAUACUUAGCAUAGUAACUUACUAGAGACAAAAGUAAGGAGAAAUAUAAAAUUCUUGUUAAUAAAACAAAAACUAAUUAAAAUAUUUUGGGGAAGGGAAUGAUAGACUGUUGUCAGCAAAAUCAAUAAAAACUAUUUGGAGUUAAUACUAGGAAGUUAUUGGUGAUAUUGGAGAAAUUCAUUUUUGCUUGAACUUGUUAGUGAUGAGAUGAUUAAUAUAGUGGUCCUUUUUAAGGUAGUGAGUAAAUGGAUGGACACUAAAGAAAAUAUGCGUUGGUAGGAAAUAUUCAUUUAAUUUAAUCAGCAUCCUGGUUUGAUGUUGACAGAAUACAGACAUCUACCAGUAUAUAGAAAUGGCUGCUUCUUCAGACAUCCACGGAAGAUAAAUCCCAUCAACUCAUUCAUUGAUAUUGUGAUUUCAAAGGGCAAGCUAGUCUCACAACCCUGAUGUCUCCUUCUCCCCUCUCUUUUUCUUUGACAAAGUGUCCCACUGUUUAUUUCUGAUUGACCCAUAACUUUCCGUGCUGACCAGGUUGGUCUUGAAGCAAUGGUACCUUCUGAGUGCUGGGACGAAAUGUGACCACCAUCUCCCUCAGUUAAGACUCUGCUUUGAAACCUAAUGUUACACAUGAGCUCUGUAAGCGUCUGUGCAGAUUACUAAGCCCUUUAAAUUACCGCCAGAAAGGGAAUUAUCAGAUGUGUAAGAGAGCAUAUAUUUCUAAACAUUCAUAGUUCAUAAAUACGAUUCUGUGUAGUUUCUUCAGCACCAUCGGGCCUUCAGAAAAGUCACAUUACUCUUUUUUAGAUUGCACUUUUAAGCCAGGUACAGUAAGACUGAUAUCUACUAAUCUUGCUCAUGUGUGGGAUCUUAAAAAAAACAAACAAACCCUAAUCCAAUGGAAAUGGAGAGAAGAAUAUAGAUCGAGAGGAAAUGAUCAGCACAGAUUGAUCAGUGGGCAUUCAGCAUUGCUGUGUGUGUUUAGGACGUGGGCCCUUAGUUAGCCGUACUGUGUGCUUUUAGAAAAAGGUGAAAUUAUUUUGAAUGCUUUCACCAUAAAAAAAAAGAGAGAUAAAUGUUUCAGGAAAACCAAGCUUACUCUGUUUCAAACAUUUUAUAAUGUAUUAAAAUAUACAGAGGAGCAUUGUGUCCCAGAGAGAAGGGUAGUGGGGGAGCCUGGAAGGAGAAGGAGGCUGCAAUCAGGCAGUAUUGUAUGAGAAAAGAAUAAAGAAAAAGAAAAAAAUAUAACAAAUAUGCAAUUAAUAUGUCCAAUUUUUGUCCAAUUUUACAUAUCAAUUAGUAAUUGCAUCUUUUAGAUCAGCAGUUAAAUUUUGUAUCAUAAAAUUGGUAUCAUUAUUAGAGAUGAAUUUUUAUUUUAAAUGAGAAACUGGAUUUUCAAGAGACUAAAAUGACAGGUGUUUUGUGAAUUUUCCUAAUAAAAUUAUAAAUUGUUUUGUUAUUUAUUUUCAAAAUUUGAUGUUUAGAUUUCCUACUUACAAUUAACUAUUUAAAGUGAUUGUAGCCCUUUUUACAAUAUAGAAUAGAAAAAUUAAACCGACCAUUUAUACUUACCUGUAAAUUGUAAGCCUGGCGAGCCUUGAUCCACUUGAUAAAUGAAAAGCCACAUGGAUAGAAUACUCACCAUCUUGCCACUAAUUAACAUCAUUUACGGGCAGCUUAGUGGCAUUCUCUAUCUUGUUAAUGAUGUCUGAGAAGAAUAAUGUAACCUCAGAUCAGACGAACAAGAGCCCGAGACAAAUCCAUGCAGGGCUUAUUAGCGGGUGUGUUGUGGUUUACUCCUGAGUGCUCUGUACCAUUAGUACUGUCUCUGUUUUGGAUCAGUUGGCUCCUUAUGGCUUGAGCUAGCAAAUAGUUCUGAGCACUAGACACACUUAAUACUUUCUGCCAAUGACUCCUGUCACAAUGCGGCAGUGUCCCAGUGAGAAAGCAGUCCAUUUGAUGGACAAACUGAGCCCAGUCGUCCAAGCUCAAAAGGAUGGAGUGUGCUGCCUCCGUUUCCCUUUCUGUAAAGAGUAAAUGUUAACUAUUUGUCUACAAAUGAUAAUCACUUCUAAAAAAGGCAUUUGUUCAGUAUCAGCUUCAUUCCUAGUGUUAUGACUUCAGUCAGCAAUUCUUUAUGUUGGUGGCAAAUGUUUUACCUACUGUGAGAGACUCAUGGGAAUAGACACUGAAGAAAAACUGCAUAGAACACUGAAGUUAUUCAGCCUAAAUGUACCUCCUAGACACAUGCGAGUUCUAUAUUAGAGGAACAUUUGUGUAGGAGGGUUUACUGUCUUAACCUUUUCCUCUCCUCCUGAUGGUGGUCUGUUAGCCUUUACGUGUGCUGUGCAGGAGACAGAGCUUGUUCUUAUAAUAUACAUAGGCUUUCAAUAAUAGCGAAAGCCUGCUUUUUAGAGAGACUCCAAUCACCAUCAUUUGCUCUUAUUGAGUGCUUUUCAAGAUGAGGCUACUGAAGUCAGACAUCAUCUGAAUAAUUAAGACGGUCUCUGCCCGACAGGCUAGAAGUUAAGGCAAGCUCUUAGAGGAAGCAGAUAAGAAGAUAGAUUAUGAGGUCAAGAGAAUUUGCUACCAAGGGUUCUUGGCAAGUACAGCAAGACAUUGAUAACCACAACCAUUGCUUGGCAAAGUCUAAGGUUCUGAGGAAAGACAUGCUAGAAAGUAGGUUUUAAUGUCGUGACUGAAAAAGCAACCAGAAAGUGGGAGUGCUAAGUGUCAGCUGGUUUGAUUAUUUUUAUUAAUUUAGUAAACAGCAUACUAGUUAGAUUAAGAACUUAGCAUCCACCAUCUUUGCCCCAGGCCUUGUUAUGUUGUUCCCUGGGUUUAGUUUCAGUGUCAGGUUUUUAAUUCAUUCAGCAGAUUAAAGCCAGCACCACCUCUAUGGUUCAUCCUGGAAAUUACUGAAUAUUGCAGCCAAGUGCAUGUAAGCACUGGACAUUGUUCGAAGACCCUUGCUUUAUGACACAGACUUUAUUGUAAUUACUGAAGUAUCUUUACCAUUAGCAAAUACAUACUUUUCUUUAGACGAUUUAAGUCAAACUUUUAAUUUAGUCAAUUGCCUUUUGCAACUUGAAAUGCAUAUGAAAUGGGGUUGCUUUUAUAAGUAUAUGGAUUUCAAAAUGUACCUUUUUCCUAUCUGCCACAUAACUUCUGGCUUCCCUAACUU
rnacentral:lncRNA from 1 species